rnacentral:pre_miRNA from 1 species
CACAUACUCUCUCCGUUCGGAAUUACUUGUCUUGAAAAUGAAUGUAUCUAGAACUAAAAUAUGUCUAGAUACAUCCAUUUCUGCGACAAGUAAUUCCGAACGGAGGGAGUACCAU